CAGAGCGGAGCCGGAAGAGGGCGGGACGAACCGGAAGAAGGUGAAAUACUUUCGGUAGGCGCUCCACGGCUGUGAAGAUGGCGGUCGCUGCGUGGCUUCAGGUGUUGCCUGUCAUUCUUCUUCUCCUGGGGGCUCAGACGUCCCCACUGUCGCUUUUCAGUGUAGGACCGGCACCCGUCGCUGCUGCCGACCGAUCCAAGUGGCACAUUCCGAUACCGUCGGGGAAAAAUUAUUUUAGUUUUGGAAAGAUCCUCUUCAGAAAUACCACUAUCUUCCUGAAAUUUGAUGGAGAACCUUGUGAUGUAUCUUUGAAUAUAACCUGGUAUCUGAAAAGUGCUGACUGUUACAAUGAAAUCUACAACUUCAAGGCAGAAGAUGUGGAGACAUACUUGGAAAACCUUAAGGAAAAAAAAGGCUUGUCUGGGAAAUAUCAAACAUCAUCAAAAUUGUUCCAAAACUGCAGUGAACUCUUUAAAACACAGAGUUUUUCUGGGGAUUUCGUGCAUCGAUUGCCUCUUUUAGGAGAAAAACAGGAGGCCAAGGAGAAUGGAACAAAUCUUACCUUUACUGGAGACAAAACUGUAAUGCAUGAGCCCUUGAAAACUUGGCAAGAUGCACCAUACAUUUUUAUUGUACAUGUUGGCAUUUCGCCCUCCAAAGAAUCAUCUAAAGAAAAUUCACUAAGUAAUCUUUUUACCAUGACUGUUGAAGUGAAAGGUCCCUAUGAAUACCUCACGCUUGAAGAAUACCCAUUGAUGAUUUUUUUCAUGGUGAUGUGUAUUGUGUAUGUCCUAUUUGGUGUUCUGUGGCUGGCAUGGUCUGCUUGCUAUUGGAGAGAUCUCCUGAGAAUUCAGUUUUGGAUCGGUGCUGUCAUCUUCCUGGGAAUGCUUGAGAAAGCUGUGUUCUAUGCAGAAUUUCAGAACAUCCGAUACAAAGGAGAAUCUGUCCAAGGUGCCCUGAUCCUUGCAGAGCUGCUUUCAGCAGUUAAACGCUCACUGGCUCGAACGCUGGUCAUCAUAGUCAGUCUGGGAUAUGGCAUAGUCAAGCCUCGCCUUGGAGUCACUCUUCACAAGGUUGUGGUAGCAGGAGCCCUUUAUCUUUUGUUCUCUGGCAUGGAAGGGGUCCUCAGAGUUACUGGGUGUUUUUCUUAUACCUUGGCUUUGAUAGUAAACCUGGCCCUCUCAGCAAUUGAUGCCUGUAUUAUAUUAUGGAUAUUUAUUAGCCUGACUCAAACAAUGAAGCUAUUAAAACUUCGGAGGAACAUUGUAAAACUCUCUUUGUACCGGCAUUUCACCAACACACUUAUCUUGGCAGUGGCAGCAUCUAUUGUGUUUAUCAUCUGGACAACCAUGAAAUUCAGGAUAGUGACUUGUCAAUCGGAUUGGCGGGAGCUGUGGGUAGAUGAUGCCAUCUGGCGGUUGCUGUUCUCCAUGAUCCUCUUUGUCAUCAUGGUUCUCUGGCGACCAUCUGCAAACAACCAGAGGUUUGCCUUUUCACCAUUGUCUGAGGAAGAGGAGGAGGAUGAACAAAAGGAACCUAUGCUGAAGGAAAGCUUUGAAGGAAUGAAAAUGAGAAGUACCAAACAAGAACCAAAUGGAAAUAGUAAAUUAAACAAAGCACAGGAAGAUGAUUUAAAGUGGGUAGAAGAGAAUGUUCCUUCAUCUGUGACAGAUGUAGCACUUCCAGCCCUUCUGGAUUCGGAUGAGAACUGAAAAAGAACUUCAGUGAAUUACAAGAGAAACAAAUUAAAUAAAGGACUAGGAAUCAAAACAGCAUCAGACUCUUCAACAAUGUUGGAAGCUAGAAGAUAAUAGAACAAUGGCUUUGAAUUCUGAGAAAAAUUAUUUUCAAACUAGAAUUCUGUACUCAACUAUCAAUAUAAGGGAACGAAUGAUCACGCACUUUGAAAGGUCCAAAAUGGAGUAAAGAAUGGGAAGAUUUGCAGCUGAAGAUGGCUAGUAUCUGGGAAGAGAUCAGCUUCUGUGUUAGUCUUUACACUGCUCCAUGGGAUUAAAGGAGGCAAUGACAUCCUGAUCUGUUCCUUGAUCUUCGUGCAUUGGAGCUGGCGAGAGGUGUUGGAACAAGGAGAACAUUCUAUUGAAAACAAGGUCAUAGGAUGAGAAAAAUCUACAAGUUUUUUAUUUGCAGCAUUGAUGCCCCUUUCCCGCCCACACCCUGACAUGGAUGUUUAUGCAACUUGUGUAUGUUGUUCCUAAACCUUCUAUAAUGUUGAAAUUGUUUAAUCUGUCAAACUAAAAAAUUUAACAUCUUCUGAAGAACUGUGACAUCAACACCAUAAUAAGUAAUAUCCAGGAGCAACUGCCUGUAAUUUUUAUUUAUUUAGGGAGUUACAUAGGUGAUGGGGGAAAUUAUUAAUUAUCUUUGCAUUUCCUGGGAAGCCAAGGUUAAAUCUUGCAGAGGUAGUUUUGAGAAGAGUCCUUCUGCGUUAAGGAGCCAUGGUUCUAACAAUGAUUAAAACAACCAAAAAAAAAAAAAGAGAGACUGUUACAGUGUGAUUUAGAUCAUUUGAAAAAGCAAAAUCAAGUGCAAUUUUGUUUACAAACGGUGUAUAUUAAAGAUUUUUCUAUUUCAGAUGUACUUUAGAGAGAAAUAUUAGCUUAACUCUUUUGACAUCUGCUAUUGUGACACAUCCCAUUGCUGGCAAUGUGGUGCACACUCCAGAACUUUUAACUACUGUUUUGUAAGCCUUCAAGGGCAGCAUUGCAGAGUCCUAGGCAAUGCUUUGCUUGCCUUCAUGCCUUUUACUGGGUGUUGCACUAGAUGCAGAAAGGCACUCCGUCGUAAGUGCAUGUGAGUGAGCACCCUGUUAAAGGGAUUAUAAUGCUUCAGAAGCAGGAGCUAAUACAAAGGAAACAGGUCCUUCUGGCUUAAACAGUUUUUUCUGCAUGAAAUAGUGUGGAGGCCCUGGACUGCUGCUCAUUCUUUAGGAUCGACUGUUCUUGUAUCUGGUGUUGGUUUAGGGAUGGUUUAUAAGAAACAUCACAAGGUGAUGGGAUUCAUUUGAAGCACUAUAUUUGUUUGAAUGAUUUUGUCCUAUUUUGCCUUCCCAAGAUUUUUUGUUCUACAUAGAAAGUUCAUGCCACUUUUUAAUAUUAAAAAAUUUUAACAAAA